AGAACUGAUAAAUCGAGGAGUGGAAUGAUAGAGUAACGUCUUGAAACGCUCUCCCUGAUACUCCUAUAUGCAAUAAUUACUGCUACUAAAUUAUUGUGUAAAGCUAGGUGAAGUCGGCAGAGAGGUACCGAAAGUUAUGUAACAAUCGAAAACGGACUAGAGGUAGUCUGUGUAUCCUAUAUGCCGGGGGUCUAUAAA
rnacentral:ncRNA from 1 species